rnacentral:sRNA from 14 species
CUGACAUCUCCGCAGGCUGGGGUCUGUUGUAUACACACAGAAUAAGGACAUUAGAGAGAAACAAAACAGCAGAAGCUUCCCAUGGCAACAUGCCUUGAAACUGUCUUUGAACCACCUCGAGGGGUGACAGCAUUUCAGUUUCUGUGGCUAAUUCAAUCCUGUGGCUUUC